rnacentral:rRNA from 1 species
UUAAGCGACUAAGCGUACACGGUGGAUGCCCUGGCAGUCAGAGGCGAUGAAGGACGUGCUAAUCUGCGAUAAGCGUCGGUAAGGUGAUAUGAACCGUUAUAACCGGCGAUUUCCGAAUGGGGAAACCCAGUGUGUUUCGACACACUAUCAUUAACUGAAUCCAUAGGUUAAUGAGGCGAACCGGGGGAACUGAAACAUCUAAGUACCCCGAGGAAAAGAAAUCAACCGAGAUUCCCCCAGUAGCGGCGAGCGAACGGGGAGGAGCCCAGAGCCUGAAUCAGUAUGUGUGUUAGUGGAAGCGUCUGGAAAGGCGCGCGAUACAGGGUGACAGCCCCGUACACAAAAAUGCACAUGCUGUGAGCUCGAUGAGUAGGGCGGGACACGUGGUAUCCUGUCUGAAUAUGGGGGGACCAUCCUCCAAGGCUAAAUACUCCUGACUGACCGAUAGUGAACCAGUACCGUGAGGGAAAGGCGAAAAGAACCCCGGCGAGGGGAGUGAAAAAGAACCUGAAACCGUGUACGUACAAGCAGUGGGAGCACGCUUAGGCGUGUGACUGCGUACCUUUUGUAUAAUGGGUCAGCGACUUAUAUUCUGUAGCAAGGUUAACCGAAUAGGGGAGCCGAAGGGAAACCGAGUCUUAACUGGGCGUUAAGUUGCAGGGUAUAGACCCGAAACCCGGUGAUCUAGCCAUGGGCAGGUUGAAGGUUGGGUAACACUAACUGGAGGACCGAACCGACUAAUGUUGAAAAAUUAGCGGAUGACUUGUGGCUGGGGGUGAAAGGCCAAUCAAACCGGGAGAUAGCUGGUUCUCCCCGAAAGCUAUUUAGGUAGCGCCUCGUGAAUUCAUCUCCGGGGGUAGAGCACUGUUUCGGCAAGGGGGUCAUCCCGACUUACCAACCCGAUGCAAACUGCGAAUACCGGAGAAUGUUAUCACGGGAGACACACGGCGGGUGCUAACGUCCGUCGUGAAGAGGGAAACAACCCAGACCGCCAGCUAAGGUCCCAAAGUCAUGGUUAAGUGGGAAACGAUGUGGGAAGGCCCAGACAGCCAGGAUGUUGGCUUAGAAGCAGCCAUCAUUUAAAGAAAGCGUAAUAGCUCACUGGUCGAGUCGGCCUGCGCGGAAGAUGUAACGGGGCUAAACCAUGCACCGAAGCUGCGGCAGCGACGCUUAUGCGUUGUUGGGUAGGGGAGCGUUCUGUAAGCCUGUGAAGGUGUGCUGUGAGGCAUGCUGGAGGUAUCAGAAGUGCGAAUGCUGACAUAAGUAACGAUAAAGCGGGUGAAAAGCCCGCUCGCCGGAAGACCAAGGGUUCCUGUCCAACGUUAAUCGGGGCAGGGUGAGUCGACCCCUAAGGCGAGGCCGAAAGGCGUAGUCGAUGGGAAACAGGUUAAUAUUCCUGUACUUGGUGUUACUGCGAAGGGGGGACGGAGAAGGCUAUGUUGGCCGGGCGACGGUUGUCCCGGUUUAAGCGUGUAGGCUGGUUUUCCAGGCAAAUCCGGAAAAUCAAGGCUGAGGCGUGAUGACGAGGCACUACGGUGCUGAAGCAACAAAUGCCCUGCUUCCAGGAAAAGCCUCUAAGCAUCAGGUAACAUCAAAUCGUACCCCAAACCGACACAGGUGGUCAGGUAGAGAAUACCAAGGCGCUUGAGAGAACUCGGGUGAAGGAACUAGGCAAAAUGGUGCCGUAACUUCGGGAGAAGGCACGCUGAUAUGUAGGUGAAGUCCCUUGCGGAUGGAGCUGAAAUCAGUCGAAGAUACCAGCUGGCUGCAACUGUUUAUUAAAAACACAGCACUGUGCAAACACGAAAGUGGACGUAUACGGUGUGACGCCUGCCCGGUGCCGGAAGGUUAAUUGAUGGGGUCAGCGCAAGCGAAGCUCUUGAUCGAAGCCCCGGUAAACGGCGGCCGUAACUAUAACGGUCCUAAGGUAGCGAAAUUCCUUGUCGGGUAAGUUCCGACCUGCACGAAUGGCGUAAUGAUGGCCAGGCUGUCUCCACCCGAGACUCAGUGAAAUUGAACUCGCUGUGAAGAUGCAGUGUACCCGCGGCAAGACGGAAAGACCCCGUGAACCUUUACUAUAGCUUGACACUGAACAUUGAGCCUUGAUGUGUAGGAUAGGUGGGAGGCUUUGAAGUGUGGACGCCAGUCUGCAUGGAGCCGACCUUGAAAUACCACCCUUUAAUGUUUGAUGUUCUAACGUUGACCCGUAAUCCGGGUUGCGGACAGUGUCUGGUGGGUAGUUUGACUGGGGCGGUCUCCUCCUAAAGAGUAACGGAGGAGCACGAAGGUUGGCUAAUCCUGGUCGGACAUCAGGAGGUUAGUGCAAUGGCAUAAGCCAGCUUGACUGCGAGCGUGACGGCGCGAGCAGGUGCGAAAGCAGGUCAUAGUGAUCCGGUGGUUCUGAAUGGAAGGGCCAUCGCUCAACGGAUAAAAGGUACUCCGGGGAUAACAGGCUGAUACCGCCCAAGAGUUCAUAUCGACGGCGGUGUUUGGCACCUCGAUGUCGGCUCAUCACAUCCUGGGGCUGAAGUAGGUCCCAAGGGUAUGGCUGUUCGCCAUUUAAAGUGGUACGCGAGCUGGGUUUAGAACGUCGUGAGACAGUUCGGUCCCUAUCUGCCGUGGGCGCUGGAGAACUGAGGGGGGCUGCUCCUAGUACGAGAGGACCGGAGUGGACGCAUCACUGGUGUUCGGGUUGUCAUGCCAAUGGCACUGCCCGGUAGCUAAAUGCGGAAGAGAUAAGUGCUGAAAGCAUCUAAGCACGAAACUUGCCCCGAGAUGAGUUCUCCCUGACCCUUUAAGGGUCCUGAAGGAACGUUGAAGACGACGACGUUGAUAGGCCGGGUGUGUAAGCGCAGCGAUGCGUUGAGCUAACCGGUACUAAUGAACCGUGAGGCUUAACCUU